AUGGAGUCGUCGCGGUCGCGGAAGCGCACGCGUCAAGAGUUGGACAGCGCCGGCGACCCGCCGCCGGAGCGGGAGGUGGUAGCAAGGGGUGGCGCGUCGCCGCCUUGGCGGGAUGACGACCGCGACGGCCAUUACGUGUUUGAUCUCGGCGAGAACUUGACCCGUCGGUACAAAAUCUUGAGCAAAAUGGGUGAAGGUACUUUUGGCCGAGUUUUGGAAUGCUGGGACCGUGAAACACGUGAAUAUGUUGCAAUAAAAGUUGUCCGAAGCAUCCGGAAGUACCGGGAUGCUGCAAUGAUUGAGAUCGAUGUGCUCAAUCGCCUUGCAGAAAAUGAGAGAUACAGAUCCCUCUGUGUCCAAAUUCAAAGAUGGUUUGACUAUCGCAACCAUAUUUGCAUUGUAUUUGAGAAGCUUGGGCCAAGCUUGUAUGAUUUUCUAAAGAGAAAUAGAUACCAACCUUUCCCUGUGGAACUUGUGCGGGAGUUUGGACGACAACUGUUGGAAUCUGUAGCAUAUAUGCACGAAUUACGCCUUAUUCACACUGAUCUGAAGCCAGAAAACAUACUCCUCGUAUCUUCCGAAUAUAUAAAGGUUCCAAGUUCCAAGAAGAAUUCACAAGAUGAGAUACACUUCAAGUGCUUGCCAAAGUCCAGUGCCAUAAAGCUGAUAGAUUUUGGUAGUACUGCCUUUGAUAAUCAGGAACAUACCUCGAUUGUUUCUACGAGGCAUUACAGGGCACCUGAAAUAAUCUUAGGCUUAGGCUGGAGUUUGCCAUGUGAUAUUUGGAGUGUUGGUUGCAUCCUCGUUGAGCUAUGCUCGGGGGAGGCAUUGUUUCAGACACAUGAGAACCUGGAACACCUAGCAAUGAUGGAGAGGGUUUUGGGACCCGUACCAGAGCACAUGAUACGGAAGGCUAGUUCAUCAGCUCAGAAAUAUUUUAGGCGAGGGACACGUCUAAAUUGGCCUGAAGGUGCUGUUACAAGAGAAAGCAUCAGAGCAGUCAGAAAACUACACCGGCUAAAGGACUUGGUUGCGAGAAAUGCUGACCAUUCAAAGGCAUCACUGGCGGACUUGCUAUAUGGUCUUUUAAGGUUUGAGCCUUCAGAGCGCCUUACUGCCCAAGAGGCUCUAGACCAUCCAUUCUUCCGAAUUCCAGGUCCAACAUGA
rnacentral:rRNA from 1 species